AAAAAUAUCAUUUUCAAAGUACCACUUUUCAUGUUUACAGUAACCACUUUCACCUUCAUCUUUAAUGAAGAGUAAAAGACAUUUAUAACCUUUUGAUUACCUUUUACAAAAAAAACAUAAGGUUAACUAAUCUAAACUUAAAACAUCAACUUUAAACCCUAAAUCAUCAACUCUAAACCCUAAACCUUGAAACAUCAACUCUAAACCCUAAACAUAAACCCUAAAACAUCAACUCUAAACUCUAAACAUAAACUCUAAACCCUAAAUUUAAACUUAAAACAUCAACUUGAAACCCUAAAUCAUCAACUCUAAACUCUAAACCCUAAACCAUGAAACAUCAACUCUAAACCCUAAACCCCGAAACAUCAACUCUAAACCCUAAACCCUAAACCUUCAAAUCAAAACCCUAAAACAUCAACUCUAGACCCUAAA
rnacentral:lncRNA from 1 species